rnacentral:rRNA from 1 species
AUUGAACGCUGGCGGCAGGCUUAACUCAUGCAAGUCGAGCGAGCGGCGGACGGGUGAGUAAUGUCUGGGAAUCUGCCUGAUGGAGGGGGAUAACUACUGGAAACGGUGGCUAAUACCGCAUACUAUCAGAUGUGCCCAGAUGGGAUUAGCUAGUAGGUGGGGUAAUGGCUCACCUAGGCGACGAUCCCUAGCUGGUCUGAGAGGAUGACCAGCCACACUGGAACUGAGACACGGCCCAGACUCCUACGGGAGGCAGCAGUGGGGAAUAUUGCACAAGGGGCGCAAGCCUGAUGCAGCCAUGCCGCGUGUGUGAAGAAGGCCUUCGGGUUGUAAAGCACUUUCAGCGAGGAGGCGUUACUCGCAGAAGAAGCACCGGCUAACUCCGUGCCAGCAGCCGCGGUAAUAC